rnacentral:rRNA from 1 species
CGAAGAAGCGAACCUGCGAAGGCAAGCGGAUCUCUUAAAGCCGUUCUCAGUUCGGACUGUAGGCUGCAACUCGCCUACACGAAGCUGGAAUCGCCAGUAAUCGCGGAUCAGCACGCCGCGGUGAAUACGUUCCCGGGCCUUGUACACACCGCCCGUCACACCAUGAGAGUCUGUAACACCCAAAGCCGGUGGGAUAACCUUUAUAGGAGUCAGCCGUCUAAGGUAGGACAGAUGAUUAGGGUGAAGUCGUAACAAGGUACC